CCACACCACCAUCUCUCUAUAAAACUUCAUCUUUUGAUUCGAAGGAGUCUGGGAGAUCCCAAGAAAGGAGCUUGAAUCAGCAUCCAGAGCCUUCGACGCAAGCUAGCACUCCCACGAAGGAAGAUCCGAUCAGGGCUUCGAGUGGAUGAUCUAUAGAGGUUGGACAAUCUAUGCAGCUACUCGAUAUCAGUGAGAGCUUUGUACCAUACC
rnacentral:lncRNA from 1 species